rnacentral:rRNA from 1 species
AUUGAACGCUGGCGGCAUGCCUUACACAUGCAAGUCGAACGGCAGCACGGGAGCAAUCCUGGUGGCGAGUGGCGAACGGGUGAGUAAAGUAUCGGAACGUGCCCAGUCGUGGGGGAUAACGUAGCGAAAGUUACGCUAAUACCGCAUACGAUCUAUGGAUGAAAGCGGGGGAGCGCCAGACCUUGCGCGAUUGGAGCGGCCGAUAUCCGAUUAGGUAGGUGGGGGGGUAAAGGCGCACCAAGCCGACGAUCUGUAGCGGGUCUGAGAGGACGAGCAGCAACACUGGGACUGAGACACGGCCCAGACUCCUACGGGAGGCAGCAGUGGGUAAUUUUGGACAAUGGGCGAAAGCCUGAUCCAGCCAUGCCGCGUGCAGGAUGAAGGCCUUCGGGUUGUAAACUGCUUUUGUACGGAACGAAAAGGUUUGGCCUAAUAAGCUGAGCUCAUGACGGUACCGUAAGAAUAAGCACCGGCUAACUACGUGCCAGCAGCCGCCGUAA